UAGAAGGCUUUUUAAGUCUCUUGGGCUAUUUGAAAGUGUUGGUACAUACAAUGACGUUUAGUCACCAGUAUUAAGGGAAAUAAAAGCCUUUUUCAAAACGAAGCUUUCACAGUGUCCAUGCAUUUGGGAAAUACUGUAUUUGAUUUUUUGCAUGUAUGAUUAUACCAUGAGAGACAGGAUUAAUAUAGAAGAUGGCAGGCAAAUUUCUAAUUAGAGAGACUAUUAUUUUUCUACAAAAUAAAGUUUGUUCAUCAAUACAAACCUGCUUUCAAAUCAAAUCAGACAUCCUUCGGAAUGUGUUCAGAACCAAUUAGUGACAACACUGAAGACCAGAAAGGCAAGCUGAAGACACCAGACUUCGCUUGAAGGGCAAACAAGAAAUCCAAACAUCAUGUCAAUGGCAACAGAACAGUUGAACCUUUCCCAGAGGGAACACAGAUGGCUGUAUUUGGGGCUGGAAAGUAGCUGAAUGUUGCUCUCCGGGCAGAACCUAGGAGAACAUAAUCCUGGAGAGAGGGGAGGGAAGUUGG